CCACGCUCUCGAACUCUAAGAAGCGCCUGAGGCAAUCUGGGGCGUGGUUUCGUGUGACGCUAUCAAGGGGCGGGACUUUAGUUUCGUCAAAUUCCUUCAUCUUCGCGGUCAGAAAGCAGUGGGAAGGUUGUAAGAAUGUUUGUGUUGCGAGGGAGAAAGUCUAAAGAGUGGCUUUCACUUUGCUCUUCUUCUUGAGUCACAUGCUCUGAGAGAAGUUAACUGCCAUGUGUUGAGGACACUCAAGCAACCUAUAGGGGAGGACCACUAAUGAGGAAUUGAAGCUUCUUGCAAACAGCCAGUAAGAAACUGAAGCCUCUGUCAUGUAAAGGAACUAUCUUGGAGUGGAUCCCCCAGCCCCAGUCAGGCCUUCAGAUGAAUGCAGCCCUGCUGAUGUUUUGAUCACAACUUCAUGGGACACCCUGAACCAGAACCCUGCAGCUAUACCACUUCUGAAUUUCUCAUCUAUAGAAACUAUAAGAUCCCAUCCUUCCCAGAAUGCCACCAUGAUCUGUUGGACUUAUUAUGGCUAAAGACAUAUUCGACAUCGACUUAUGUAUACUUGCCUUGAUCCUGGUCCUGCCAACCUGUGUUCUAGCCAAUCAUUCCCUUGCAUUUGAAGUGGACCCUCCCUAUUGGUGCUGUUAAUCCCCAUUUUACAGAUGAAGACACUGAGGCACAGGGAUAUUAAAGGAACUUGCCCACGGUCACACACUUGGUAGGUUGUGGAACCAGUACAGGCAGGUGAUAAGAGAGAGGAAGAAAAGAAGACAGGUUGAUAGGCGGGACCAGGGCCUGUCCUCAGGGAAGCUUGCUCCAGAGAGGCGGCCACAUUUCAAAGCUGAGACCCGAAGGUGGAAACAGAGGCACUAAACAAAAGUUUCUAGGAAGAAAGAACAAAUGCCAGGCCUCCAAAACGGAAACAAACUUGGAUGGAAUGGCUGCCAAUCUAGCUGCUACCUGGGACUAGGAGAAUGAGGAUGGUGAGUUAGUGAGCUAGAAGGAGCCUGCAUUACUAAGGUCUUAAUGGAACAAAAAGUCCACACACGUGGUCUUGAACUACUGACCUCAAGAGUUCAAUUAUGAAUGAAGCCAAAUUAUCUUCCACGUUGUUUUGUUUUGUUGUCACAUGCCACAAAUCUAAUCCUAAUUGAUCCUUUUUCUUGUUUUAUAAAUUCAAGUAAGAUGUAUGCAUAUAUAAAAAUCCAUUGUACUGAUCUUAUUACCUCAUUUUUGCUUCUGACCCUUGAUUUCUUUAUCUUUUUAAAACUAAGUUGGAGUCAUGGCAUAGUUUUUUAAAAGGUCAGUCUGAUGGUAUGUGAAUUAUAUCUCAAUUAAAACAGGUAGAUAAAUAAAGUAACAGAUUAUAACCCAUUGAAUAAAUGAGAAAAAUAAAUAAAUUGACAGUCUCAUGAGGAAUAGGAUGUUUACCAGUUUCAAAGUAUCUCUCCACAAAAUACUUCAUAAGUAAAAGGAAAAAAGGUGUGAAGCCACCUUAACAAAUGAUCAAAGUGAACACCAUCAGCAAAGGGACAAAUCAAAAUUGUGUUCCACCUGAUUGGAUGCAAUCAGAACACAGCUUCUUUGGUGUUUGAUUUUCCUGCCAAAGGUGUAUAACCUGAAUCUAAUCAUGAGGAAAUCUCAGUUAAACCCAAAUGGAGCAGCAUGCUACAAAAUAAUUGGCCUGCAACCUUCAAAAGUAUCAAGGAAAAACUGAAGAAUUGUUCCAGAUUGAAGGAGACCGCAGAGACAGAACAAUCUGAACACAAAGAUCUUUUUGCUGUAAAAGGAUGUUAUUGGGAUUGGCAGGACUUGAAAGGGGUCUGAGGAUUACAGUACUGUAUCAUGUUAACUUUCUUAUCUGGAUGAUUGUAUUGCAUAGAAGAAAGUCCUUGUAGGAAAUACACACUAAAUAUUUGGGGGUGAUGAAGUAUCAAGUUACCAUUUGCUCUCAAAUGGUUCAGGAUAAAAAAAAAUUAUCAGAACCAUAUUUACAACUUUUUGUAAGUUUGAGAUUGUUUGAAAAAAAUAUGUACACCAGUUUCCAAUGAGGUCUCAGACUUUCUCAAGUAACUCACUUUAACAAUCUUUUCUUCACUUAAUGAUCUUCCUUAUAUCUCACUGAAUAUGCAUAAUAUCUACCAUUUAUUCAGCCCUAAAUUCUUUGUGCUUGUGUGACAACACACACAAAACACCCUGUAAUUUAUUGUAUCACUUAGAGUUUGGAAACCAGCUCUGGCUAAGUCAAACAGGAAAAGGAAUUAAGUGGAGAGAUAUGAGAUUAUAUGGCAGGCUCUGUUGGAAACAGCUCCUCCACUUAAUAAAUGUGUGUUGAUUUGGGGCAAGUGACUUAACUACCCCAGUGCCUCAGUUUCUAUAUCCAUAAAAUGGAGGAAAUUAUAAUAUUUACCUCAUAAAAUUGUUGAGGGUUAAAUUAAUUAAUACAUGUAAAGCACUUGAAACAGUUCCCAACAUAUAGUUAGUGCUCCAUAAAUGGUAUUUAUUGUUAUUAACUGACUUGUCCAAAGAAGCCAAUGAGUGGCCAAUGCAGGAUUUGAACCCAAGUCCAACUGAAACCAAAACCUGAGCUCCUUACCAUGACAAUCCCUUAUCACAACAUUAAGUGAGCUAUGAUUCUCUUUUUUUUUUCUCCUAAAUGCUGAUGAUAACCAAGGGAUGUUCCUUCUCCCACUCCAUUAGCAGUUUAUUUUGCAUUCUCCUAGGGCUUGUAAACAAAAACUUGUCAAGCCAGCUGGUUCCUUUUCAAAGCUCAGUUCAUGCCCACACCCUCCAAAAGCUUUCGCUUCAUGGGUAUACUUCAUUUGCCUUGGGUAAUACUAUUCUUUUAAAUGUGGAGGACAUUUAAUCUAAGUAAUAUGUGCAUGGUCUUUGAUCUAGGCAUGCAACAGCUGUAGCUGUGAGAUAACAUGCUUGCCUCAUCCAAUAUCUGUCUGCCUUAUGUCUAAGCAUUAUCCAUCCCUCUCAUAUAUGAUGGAAAAUAUCAGGUCAACAUCUGAAGGAAGGAAGGAAGCAAGCAAGCAAGCACAGAAAAGAUUUUUAAAAAAUUUAGAGAUUGCCUGGUGUGUUUGAAUCUAUUGAGAAGAGAUUUCUAUUGUCAGAUUUUGUGGGUCAACUGGUGAUAAAUACGUAGAAAAUUAAGUGUAGCCAGUUUGUUGAACCGAUGGGACCUAUGGGGUGAAGGCAGAAAACAAGUUUAUUCUUGGAUGCAAAGUUUAUUCUUUUCAUGUUCAAGUUGUCUCUAUGGAGCUAGCUCUUCCCCCACACCCUUGAAUGAAGUCUGGGGGAAUUCUCAUGGCUUUGUUAGUCACUCCCAGGUAAUAAAAUUCUCUUGGUCGCUUAAAACCCCUAAACAAUCUCAGUUCAGUAAUCUAGAAAUCCACUCUCAUGCAUUGAGUGUAACCAUGUGGAACUGCCAUUUUUGUGAGUCAUACAUGGUUGAAUAUUACCAAUGUUAUUUGCUUUACUCUAAUAAGAAUGAAAAUUUCCAAAUUUUUUAAGGUAAAAUAAUCUCCCCCUCUUCCACUUAGGCCUGCUGUGGACUGGCUCACCUGAGUUAAGAAAGGGUGACCUGGUGGGCUUCUCUAUUUCCCCCUCCAGACCUCCCAGCACCCUCCUUCACUCAGGGGUCUACCUGUGGUUCUUCUAGGAUAAAAGGGAGCUGAGGAGGCAGGAGAGGCGGUGUGGAUCUCUCUGACCCAGCAGGUUUUCCUGGUGGACUCUUCCUCUCCCAGGUGCUCUUGGCUUUUGUGAUUCUUCAGAGAGACACUUCCCUGCUGCCACCCCCACACUGUCCUCCAUGGGUAGGAGGGCCUCACUCAACCUGAAGUCCUCU